rnacentral:rRNA from 1 species
CAGCAGUAGCCGCGGGAAUACGUAGGUGGCAAGCGUUGUCCGGAAUUAUUGGGCGUAAAGGGCUCGCAGGCGGUUUCUUAAGUCUGAUGUGAAAGCCCCCGGCUCAACCGGGGAGGGUCAUUGGAAACUGGGAAACUUGAGUGCAGAAGAGGAGAGUGGAAUUCCACGUGUAGCGGUGAAAUGCGUAGAGAUGUGGAGGAACACCAGUGGCGAAGGCGACUCUCUGGUCUGUAACUGACGCUGAGGAGCGAAAGCGUGGGGAGCGAACAGGAUUAGAUACCCCUGUAGUCCCUGUCUCUUAUAC